GACGAACGCUGGCGGCGUGCUUAACACAUGCAAGUCGAACGGAAAGGCCCUGCUUGCCGGGUACUCGAGUGGCGAACGGGUGAGUAACACGUGGGUGAUCUGCCCUGCACUUCGGGAUAAGCCUGGGAAACUGGGUCUAAUACCGGAUAGGAGCCAUUUUUAGUGUGAUGGUUGGAAAGUUUUUUCGGUGUAGGAUGAGCUCGCGGCCUAUCAGCUUGUUGGUGGGGUAAUGGCCUACCAAGGCGGCGACGGGUAGCCGGCCUGAGAGGGUGGACGGCCACAGUGGGACUGAGAUACGGCCCAGACUCCGACGGGAGGCAGCAGUGGGGAAUAUUGCACAAUGGGCGCAAGCCUGAUGCAGCGACGCCGCGGGGGGGAGGACGGCCUUCGGGUUGGAAACUCCUUUCGCUAGGGACGAAGCUUUUUGUGACGGUACCUAGAGAAGAAGCACCGGCUAACUACGUG
rnacentral:rRNA from 1 species